AACGAACGCUGGCGGCAGGCCUAACACAUGCAAGUCGAACGCCCUAGCAAUAGGGAGUGGCAGACGGGUGAGUAACACGUGGGAACGUGCCUUUCGGUUCGGAAUAACCCAGGGAAACUUGGACUAAUACCGGAUACGUGCGAGAGCAGAAAGAUUUAUCGCCGAAAGAUCGGCCCGCGUCCGAUUAGUUAGUUGGUGAGGUAAUGGCUCACCAAGGCGACGAUCGGUAGCUGGUCUGAGAGGAUGAUCAGCCACACUGGGACUGAGACACGGCCCAGACUCCUACGGGAGGCAGCAGUGGGGAAUAUUGGACAAUGGGCGCAAGCCUGAUCCAGCCAUGCCGCGUGAGUGAUGAAGGCCCUAGGGUUGUAAAGCUCUUUCGCCAGGGGACGAUAAUGACGGGUACCUGGAUAAGAGCCCCGGCUAACUUCGUGCCAGCCGCCGCCGUAAC
rnacentral:rRNA from 1 species